GCAGUCGAACGAAGUAGCAAUACUUAGUGGCAGACGGGUGAGUAACAUGUAGGCAUCUGCCCUUUGGCCUGGAAUAACACGAGGAAACUUGUGCUAAUACCGGAUAAGUCUUUACGGAGAAAGCUUUAUGCACCAUUGGAUGAGCCUGCACUUGAUUAGUUUGUUGGUGGGGUAAUGGCCUACCAAGACUGUGAUCAAUAGCUGAUUUGAGAGGAUGAUCAGCCACAUUGGGACUGAGACACGGCCCAAACUCCUACGGGAGGCAGCAGUGGGGAAUCUUGCACAAUGGAGGAAACUCUGAUGCAGCGAUGCCGCGUGAGUGAAGAAGGCCCUUGGGUUGUAAAGCUCUUUCGUCGGGGAAGAAAAUGACUGUACCCGAAUAAGAAGGUCCGGCUAACUUCGUGCCAGCAGCCGCGGUAAUACGAAGGGACCUAGCGUAGUUCGGAAUUACUGGGCUUAAAGAGUUCGUAGGUGGUUGAAAAAGUUAGUGGUGAAAUCCCAGAGCUUAACUCUGGAACUGCCAUUAAAACUUUUCAGCUAGAGUAUGAUAGAGGAAAGCAGAAUUUCUAGUGUAGAGGUGAAAUUCGUAGAUAUUAGAAAGAAUACCAAUUGCGAAGGCAGCUUUCUGGAUCAUUACUGACACUGAGGAACGAAAGCAUGGGUAGCGAAGAGGAUUAGAUACCCUCGUAGUCCAUGCCGUAAACGAUGUGUGUUGGACGUUGGAAAUUUAUUUUCAGUGUCGCAGGGAAACCGAUAAACACACCGCCUGGGGAGUACGACCGCAAGGUUAAAACUCAAAUGAAUUGACGGGGACCCGCACAAGUAGUGGAGCAUGUGGUUUAAUUCGAAGAUACGCGCAGAACCUUACCAACACUUGACAUGUUCGUCGCGACUC
rnacentral:rRNA from 1 species